rnacentral:rRNA from 1 species
CGCCUUGCCAGCCCGCUCAGAAACUCAAAGGAAUUGACGGGGGCCCGCACAAGCGGAGGAGCAUGUGGUUUAAUUCGAUGAUACGCGAGGAACCUUACCUGGGCUCGAACGUAAGAUGACUGUAGGUGAAAGCUUACAUCUCUUCGGAGCAUUUUACGAGGUGCUGCAUGGUUGUCGUCAGCUCGUGCUGUGAAGUGUUGGGUUAAGUCCCGCAACGAGCGCAACCCUUGCCUUUAGUUGCCAGCAGUUCGGCUGGGCACUCUAAAGGGACUGCCGGUGUUAAACCGGAGGAAGGUGGGGAUGACGUCAAGUCCUCAUGGCCUUUAUGACCAGGGCUACACACGUACUACAAUGGCCGAUACAAAGGGCAGCGACACUGCGAGGUGAAGCCAAUCCCGUAAAAUCGGUCUCAGUCCGGAUUGGAGUCUGCAACUCGACUCCAUGAAGUUGGAAUCGCUAGUAAUCGUGGAUCAGCAUGCCACGGUGAAUACGUUCCCGGGCCUU